rnacentral:rRNA from 1 species
ACAGCAGUAGCCGCGGUAAAACGUAGGGUGCGAGCGUUAAUCGGAAUUACUGGGCGUAAAGCGUGCGCAGGCGGUUUGUUAAGACAGAUGUGAAAUCCCCGGGCUUAACCUGGGAACUGCAUUUGUGACUGGCAAGCUAGAGUCUGGCAGAGGGGGGUGGAAUUCCGCGUGUAGCAGUGAAAUGCGUAGAUAUGCGGAGGAACGCCGAUGGCGAAGGCAGCCCCCUGGGCCAACACUGACGCUCAUGCACGAAAGCGUGGGGAGCAAACAGGAUUAGAUACCCCUGUAGUCCCUGUCUCUUAUAC